CAAGAAAUACAGGUUCGCCCAUUUUAUUGAAUUUGUUUUUUUAAACUCUCUGCAAGUGAGGGAUAUGAUUGUGUCACGGUAGUAUUUCCUGGCACAUAAGGGAUAAUGAUAGCCUUUUCACAAUCUACACCUCUUUCUAACACUGCCAAAAAUCUACACACAAAGUCGUUUAAAGUACUUUGUAAUAAUAUUCAUUAUAAUUUAAAAGCUGCAAACUAAUUAAUCAUCAAAACAUAAAAG
rnacentral:lncRNA from 1 species